CCCUAACAAAUGAUUAACCGACAUCAAUGUCGACAGCAUGGUUUUUUACCAGGACACACCCUAGCAGGCAUUUGGUGGAAUAUCUGACCACUGGGUUCACACAGGGUUUUUAAACGGGUAUUGUAGCCAUCCCCACGGGCACACUGGAAUGUCCCAAUCUAUUGUCAGCAUGCCAAGAUCCAGUUUCCACAGACACUCUCCUUUCCUCCGAAAUUACCAACGGUU